rnacentral:lncRNA from 10 species
GGGAGUGAUUAUUUCAAUCACAAGACAUGAAAUCAGGAUGAUGAACACAUUUGGCAAGAAUCUAGUUCCAGGAAACAUGUUUUGAUGCUGCUUAACACAGCUUUUGGAAGUUGAUGAACAUCAUCAAAGUGUGAACCCAUCUCAGCUGACAAGGGGGACACAAAUUUGCUGCCUUCCUAUGUCAGCAUCUGAAGAGAUGGCAUGUGGAUGGGAACCAGCCAGGACAGCUGUGGAGGCAGCCAUAUCGCUGAAGAAGUGCAGGCUGCACCUGACCUUUCCCAGUGACCAAGGCAGUGCACACAGGGCCACACAGGGACAUCCUUCCAUGUUUUAUGGUUUGUAGUUGUUUGACUGAUGAUGACAUUACUGUUUAGACAUUUGGACUGCAAGGAGAAAUCCCACCACAGAUAAGUAGAUCGUCUUGUCUUUGCAUGGGCAUGCUGCCCUGGCUUGUCUGAUGUGUGCAUUAUGGGACGUAUGCACAGGAACAGCUCAGUUACCCACUCACCAGUCGUGAGGGUGCAAGACCUCUAAAAGUGAGGCCUGUAACUUGUUCAUCUUCAAGAUAGAGACUUCACAUUUCGGUGUAAUCACCAUCAACACUUACUGAAUUGAUCCGAAUUCAAUAAAUAUGAAUUCACGGAUAAUCUGCCAAAUUUAAAAUAUUGCCCUAGUGGUUUGGGGUGCACAGAGUUAAGUGAAACCACCCAUUCUUAGGGAUCAUCCAAUGCAGGAGUGCUGGCAUAUUCAUCAGCAAGGGCUGUCACACAGAACAUCACAGGCCCUGUGCUUACGCAACCGUUUCUGCUGAGGCCUCUCUUCCUGCUUAUAGACAGUGCCUUUUCACUUUGAGCUUGCUUGGCCUCUUCUCUGUGCAUGCACAGAGAGAGAGAAAGGGAGAACAGGCAGCCUCUGGCGCCUCUUCCUGUUCUCAUGACACUAGUUAAUAAGGUUCGGUUCUGUGUCCCCACCCAAAUCUCAUCUUGAAUUGUAGCUCCCAUAAUUCCUACUUGUUGUGAGAGGACCUGGUGGGAGAUAAUUGAAUCGUGGGGGUAGUUUCUCCCCACACUAUUCUCAUGAUAGUGAAUAAGUCUCAUGAGAUCUGAUGAUUUUAUAAGGGGUUUCCCCUUGGCUUGGUUUUCAUUCUCUCUUGCCUGCUGUCAUGUAAGAUGUGUCUUUCACCUUCCAUCAUGAUUGUGAGGCCUCUCCAGCCACGUGGAACUGUGAGUCCAUUAAACUUCUUUUUCUUUAUAAAUUACCCAGUCUUUGGUAUGUCUUUAUCAGCAGUGUGGAAAUAGACUAACACACCAGUCCUAUUGGAUUAGGGCCCCACCCUUACGACCUGACUAGACCUUAAUUACUUUCCUGAAGGCCCCAUCUCUAAUAUAGUCACACUGGAGGGUUAGGGCUUCAACACAUGAAUUUGGCUGGGGAGGCACAGUUCAGUACACAACAGAUGGGAACCAUCUUUUUUUUUCUGUUUCAACUUUUUUUUCAGUAUCAACUUUUUGUUUUGUUACAGUGAUUUAGCAUAAAACAAGUAGACACUAAUGUAACAUGCUCACUUAAAAUUCCAAGAAUUCUCAAAAAUUCUCGUACUAUGAACUGACCUUCUUAGUUUCUAAAACUGAAGAAAUCAUUGUAAUUUAAAACAUAAAUCAUCUCAAUCAUAAACAUUAAGAGUUUCCUUGGUGUUCACUCUUGGGAUAUUUCAAAAGAUGAUAAAGUAUGAAAUUAAGCAGAGCCUAUUAAGAUCAACCAUUUUUUAUUAUAUGACCUAUUCAUUUCAAAAUGUAGAUGCACAUAAUAAAUAAGUUUUCCAGUGUGUGCCUGCUCAGAGGUUUCUACACUCUCAGAAAGAAACCAAGCUAAUUACACAUGAAAUAUCAACUGGUGAGCAAUUAUAACCUGAAAAAUACCCUCAUGAUUUUGUAUAUUUUAUAAAUUUAUGAGUUGGGCAAAAAAUGUUAUAUCUAUACCAUGAAUUCAGAAACAGUGGUAAAAUAUGGUCAUAACAAACAGUAUGUGUAUAUAUACACACACGUAUACACAUACACACAUUAUACAUACACGUACCUCAUACACACACACACCUCAUACACACACACCCACACACCCACACCCACCACUAUCAUAAACUUCUGCUUUUAUUUGGCUGGUAAUAUGUACAAAUGAAUAUUUCUGAUUUGUUAGCUUUCUUGGCAUAUUUCUGUCUAAUUUUUUUAAUCUCUCCUCCUUCUUUUCAGAUAAGAAAAACAUGCUCUCUCUUCUCUAAUGAUUGGACAGACUCCUACUCCAAAACAGAAGAUCUCAACUCUGGAAGAGAACAGAUGCCUUCCACUGUGUGAGCGUAAAUUCAGAGCCUUCCAACUUGACAUUCUCAUCGACAAAUUAUUUAAACAUGACGGCUCUUUUAUAAAGAGUGUUAUCUUAAAAGGAAAGGAAUCAAAGGGCUGAACAUGUUGAAGGGAGGAGAAACAAGACCCCCAGGACUUGUCAAUGGCACACAUGAAAGACAGAAAACACCAGAAGCCAGUCUUCAGCCUGCUGGCCCAGCCAUGGCCACUGUAACGUACGGCUAAACCCCUGCCCCGAUCAGCUCUCAAGGCUCUGAGCCAACUGCCUAGACCGUCUAUUUGAGAUCCCUGAGAGUUUCAACACAGGGCAUGGCUGACCUCUCCACCGUGUCAUUUCCAGUAAUGCGGCCUCACUGAUAGCAGAAGUUCGGAGAGCUCUUGUCAGAGAGGCCAGCUGGCACCAUGUGAGUCUUACCCAGAGGGAAACCUGACAAUCUUCCAGCAUGCUCACCAGACUGGGGCACUGACUUUUGUCACUUGAUUCUCAACUCACAGUCUCAAGAUGCUGGUGCUAAUGUACAUUGCAGCUGACACUGGAGUUUAUUUUUAUAACUGCUCUUGCCUCAGAAAAAGCUCCAUCCCAGUACGACUUCCAGGACAGGGAUGGUCUGGAUGCUGCAGUUAGGACAAUGAUCAUCUCGUUCUCUUAGUGGUUAGGAAUCCUGUGGGCUUAUGGAAUAAGCUCGCUGAAACAGACAGUGACAUCCACGGUGACACUGACCGAAUUGUGCUCCAGUGGCCUAGAGAGUGCCUAUUAUUUAUCUCAUUUCUGUUCUGCAUAAUAACACCAACCAAACCGCUAAUGAAUGAAUAUUAUUACAUGCUUUGGUAGGAACGCAAAGGCAAAUUGGGCUCACUGUAGAGAAUAUCUUGCUCCUCAUUUUGUAUUAAAAUGCCUAGACGCCCCUCAAGAGACCAUGUCAAGGAUGAAAUUUAUCCACUGCCUGCAUUUGCUAAUUUGAAAGAGUUCUGAUUUCAUCUGCCGGGCUUAAUAUAGAAAUUCUUUUAACCUGAACAGAUACACAGAAAUGUGGAAUUUAUUCAAUGCCAUUUUCUUGAUUUAUGUCAGGAAAUAUAUAUGGCUAUGCUGUCAUCUUUUUAUAUAUAGACAUCAAUAUAUAUAAAUAUAUAGAGUCAAGUCAGAAAUUCUGAAACCACAUUGCACUUAGCCCUUACAGCAUAAUGCUUUCCAUAUUCUUCACAGUUUGUUUCCCUGAUCCUUUAGAGAGAGCUACUGUGUUUAAAGUGUAAACCAUUUUUACAGAAAAAAUGUAUUACAAUUCUAUAUGAUAAUUCUCAAAGUUCAGGAAAAUAAUCUGAAAUAAACAUUCUAAAUUGAGGAAUGAAUAAUAAAGACUCAUCAAUUGGGCUGGGAGCAGUGGCUCACGCCUGUAAUCUCAGUACUUUGGGAGACCGAGGCAGGCGGAUCACCUGAGGUCAGCCUGGC